GACGAACGCUGGCGGCGUGCCUAAUACAUGCAAGUAGAACGCUGAAGGAGGAGCUUGCUUCUCUGGAUGAGUUGCGAACGGGUGAGUAACGCGUAGGUAACCUGCCUGGUAGCGGGGGAUAACUAUUGGAAACGAUAGCUAAUACCGCAUAAGAGUAGAUGUUGCAUGACAUUUGCUUAAAAGGUGCAAUUGCAUCACUACCAGAUGGACCUGCGUUGUAUUAGCUAGUUGGUGGGGUAACGGCUUACCAAGGCGACGAUACAUAGCCGACCUGAGAGGGGGAUCGGCCACACUGGGACUGAGACACGGCCCAGACUCCUACGGGAGGCAGCAGUAGGGAAUCUUCGGCAAUGGACGGAAGUCUGACCGAGCAACGACGCGUGAGUGAAGAAGGUUUUCGGAUCGUAAAGCUCUGUUGUAAGAGAAGAACGAGUGUGAGAGUGGAAAGUUCACACUGUGACGGUAUCUUAACAGAAAGGGACGGCUAACUACGUG
rnacentral:rRNA from 1 species